CUCUUUUUUUAUUUUUUAUUUAUAUUCUCUGUCUCUUUUUGAGGUUUUUCAGAGAGAGAGAGGGAGAGAGUUUCUUCAGAUCUGAAGAGAGGGAUUUUCUCUUCAAAACCCCAUGGAAAUCUCUCUUAUGUAGAAGUUGCUUUUGAGAGAUUUUUUUUCAGAGACUGAGAAGAAGAAGAGCUAGGGUUUUAUCUGUCUGAGCAUGUCGAAGAUCUUUGCUGAAAACAAGCUUUGUGAUUUUGGAGUUUUAGGUUUUUCUUGAAGAUUUGAGGAAGCUUUGAGAGAUGUUUGGGGGCGAUUUCGAUCCGUUUCAGCUCUGUUUCUGCUGAAAAUCAGAUUGAAUUCUGGUCAGAGAGAGGGAAGCAUCUUUCGAAAGCAUGUCCCAAGAACUGCAGUAAAAGAGAGGCAGAGAAGGACUCGGAGUUUUAUGUUUUCAAGUCUGUUUGAUUUCUCAAACCAUCUUUUGCUGUGGUGACCACGUUUACGGAUUCAUCAUCGAAAGAACCGAUGAAGGAGAUGGAGAAAUGCUUGGAUUCCCAGCUCUGGCAUGCUUGUGCAGGAGGAAUGGUCCAGAUGCCACCGGUUAACUCCAAGGUCUUCUAUUUCCCGCAGGGCCAUGCGGAGCAUGCACAAGGGAUCGUGGACUUCGCUAAUUGCCCGCGGGUCCCUGCUUAUGUCCUCUGCAAGGUCGCUGAUGUGAAAUUCAUGGCGGACCCUGAGACGGAUGAGGUUUAUGCAAAGAUCCGGUUGGUUCCACUGCGAAACAGUGAGGCCAAUUUUGCUGAAGAUGAUGGCCCCCUCGGUGUCAAUGGAUCGGAUGUCCCAGAGAAGCCAGCGUCGUUUGCCAAGACGCUCACGCAGUCAGAUGCCAACAAUGGUGGGGGAUUCUCGGUUCCCCGUUACUGUGCAGAGACUAUCUUCCCCCGUUUGGACUAUACAGCAGACCCACCAGUCCAGACCAUCCUUGCCAGGGAUGUGCAUGGUGAAAUUUGGAAGUUCCGGCAUAUUUAUAGAGGGACACCGCGACGGCAUCUCCUGACAACUGGGUGGAGCACUUUCGUGAACCAGAAGAAGCUCGUUGCUGGGGAUUCGAUUGUGUUCUUAAGGACGGAGAAUGGAGAUCUUUGUGUUGGUAUCCGACGGGCGAAGAGAGGAGUCGGCUGUGGGUCAGAGCCGGUGUCAGGGUGGAACCCAGCUGCUGGAAAUUGCAUCUCGCCUUACAGGGGGUUCUCAGCAUUUUUGAGGGAAGAUGAAGGCAAGCUGAUGAGCACUGGUAGUGGUGGCAAUUCAAACUCUGGUGGGGAUUAUAGGUCAAGGGCCAGAGUGAGGGCCGAAUCUGUCGUUGAGGCAGCAACUCUUGCUGCAAACGGGCAGCCUUUUGAGGUUGUUUACUACCCACGUGCGAGCACCCCGGAGUUUUGCGUGAAGGCUGCAUCAGUGACAGCUGCAAUGAGGAUCCAGUGGUAUUCGGGGAUGAGGUUUAAGAUGGCUUUCGAGACUGAGGAUUCUUCUCGGAUUAGUUGGUUUAUGGGGACCAUAUCAUCUGUUCAGGUUGCAGACCCAAACCGUUGGCCUAAUUCCCCUUGGAGGCUUCUUCAGGUCACGUGGGAUGAACCUGAUUUGCUGCAGAAUGUAAAACGUGUCAGCCCAUGGCUGGUCGAAUUGGUUUCGAACAUGCCGACCAUCCAUCUGUCACCCUUCUCACCACCAAGGAAGAAGAUGCGUCUCCCACAGCACGCUGAUUUCCCCCUCGACAGCCAACUUCCCACGCCAACGUUUUCCAGCAACCCCCUUGGGCCCAGCAGCCCCUUGUGUUAUCCUUUUGACAACACUCCUGCAGGCAUACAGGGAGCCAGGCAUGCUCAAUUUGGUACAUCUUUAUCAGAUCUCCAUCUCAACGGACUGCAGACGGGACUGUUUCCGGCAGCUUUCCAGCGGUUUGAUCACGCUGUGCCAGACUCCAGAAUUUCCCCUCGCCUCAUCGUCAGCAACCCCAGCAUACGGGAUAAUGUCUCGUGCUUGCUGACUAUUGGGAAUUCUUCACAGAAUACAAAGAAAUCUGAUGAUGGUAAGGCAUCCCCAUUGGUGCUCUUUGGCCAACAAAUACUCACUGAGGAGCAGAUAUCUCUAAGCUGUUCUGGGGAUACAGUUUCCCCGGGGCGCACUGGCAAUAGUUCAUCUGAUGGGAAUCCAGAUAAGAUGGCGAACUUCUCAUCCGAUGGCCCACCAGACAAUUCAUCCUGUGAAGGAUUUCCAUGGUUCAAGGACCGACGAACAAGUGAGCUUGGUUUGGAGACCGGGCAUUGCAAGGUGUUCAUGGAGUCGGAGGAUGUAGGUCGAACGCUUAAUCUCUCAGUGCUAGGUUCAUACGAAGAGCUUUACAGAAGGCUUGCCAACAUGUUUGGCAUAGAAAGAUCUGAGAUGCUUAGUCAUGUGCUCUACCGGGAUGCCACUGGUGCAAUCAAACACACAGGGGACGAACCGUUCAGUGUUCAGAGUCCUUAACGGUUGGGGCACCAAAAAGCCUGUUGGAUAUUGAUCAAAUAUGCCGAAUCAAAUUACCAAGUGUCCUUUCACAGGCUUGCCUUCCCUCGUUACUGGUUUUAUAGAGAUCGAGUUCAUGAAAACAGCACGUAGGCUGAAGAUCCUGAUGGACUCAGGCAGCGACAACAUAGGAAGGUAGAGAAGUACAAAAUCCUCACUUGUUAAAUGUACAGUUGAAUGAGCAAAUCUUUUGUUCCAGGCUGACUUUUAUGGAGCUGUAGACAGAAACCCUUCGAUCCAUUUUUGAAUUUUCUUAGAAACUCUUCAGUAUGGUUUUUUCUUACCUUUUUUUUAAUUUUUUCUUGUCAUUUCUUGCCACUUUCAAGUUAAUCCUAGUCUCUUUGUUAUGUGCAAAUCCCAAUGAUUUAUGCAUGGGUGUUCGGCUCA